AGAGUUUGAUCCUGGCUCAGGAUGAACGCUAGCGGCAGGCCUAAUACAUGCAAGUCGAGGGGCAGCGCAGUGUAGCAAUACAUGGGCGGCGACCGGCAAACGGGUGCGGAACACGUACGCAACCUUCCUUCAAGCGGGGAAUAGCCCAGAGAAAUUUGGAUUAAUACCCCAUAAGAAUGUAGAGAGGCAUCUCUCAGCAUUUAAAGAUUUAUCACUUGAAGAUGGGCGUGCGUCUGAUUAGGUAGUUGGUGAGGUAACGGCUCACCAAGCCGANNGAUCAGUAAUCUGGCGUGAGAGCGCGACCAGUCACACGGGCACUGAGACACGGGCCCGACUCCUACGGGAGGCAGCAGUAAGGAAUAUUGGUCAAUGGACGGAAGUCUGAACCAGCCAUGCCGCGUGGAGGAUGACGGCCUUCUGGGUUGUAAACUGCU
rnacentral:rRNA from 1 species